AUGUCAGGAAUUGACUCUCCACGGUCCAGGUAUUGCAUGACCUUUUGCAUGCUAGGCCUUGCACUGGGUGAUGGGUAUGAGCAUAAUAAACCUAGUUUGAGCACGAGAGUGACUUCCUCUAUGUUGAAAUUCCCCAUGAGUCGAGGAUCUACUGUGUCGAGAAUUGAGACAUUGCCGUGGUGUUCAAGCACCCAAUCCACCAACACUAUCUCUGUGUUGUUCUUGCUGCUACCAAUUGGCCUACACCCACAGGCGACCUCUAGGAGAAACACGCCAAAUGCAAACACAUCUGUUAAGGGCGUUGCCUUUCCGGUGCGUAUAAUUUCUGGUGCAAGAUAUCCCAUGGUGCCCACCACAUGUGUUGUUUUAGCAACUGUGCCAUGGUCAUAUAACCUUGCUAGACCAAAAUCACCAAGUCGUCCAUUCAUUUGUCUGUCCAGGAGCACAUUGCUUGCUUUUAUAUCUCGAUGUAUGACGAUUUUCUCCCAUUCCUCAUGA
rnacentral:rRNA from 1 species